rnacentral:rRNA from 1 species
UACGGGGGGGGCAAGCGUUGUUCGGAAUUACUGGGCGUAAAGGGCUCGUAGGCGGCCAACUAAGUCGGACGUGAAAUCCCUCGGCUUAACCGGGGAACUGCGUCCGAUACUGGAUGGCUGGAGGUUGGGAGAGGGAUGCGGAAUUCCCGGUGUAGAGGUGAAAUUCGUAGAUAUCGGGAGGAACACCAGUGGCGAAGGCGGCGACCUGGGCCAAUAUUGACGCUGAGGUGCGAAAGCGUGGGGAGCAAACAGG